AUAUCAUGUGGAAAGCAUGUAAAUUAUAAGAAUGUACCGCUUUUGUCUCAUUUUAUUUCUCCAUUUACUGGAUGCAUUUAUGGAAGGCACGUAACAGGUCUUUGUGGGAAGACACGGAAAGAAAUCACAAAAGCAAUUAAGAGAGCUCAAAUAAUGGGGUUUAUGCAAGUUACAUACAAGGAUACUGCAUACCUCAAAGACCCCAAAGUUUGUAACAUCAAUUAUCAGGAA
rnacentral:lncRNA from 1 species